rnacentral:rRNA from 1 species
UACGAAGGGGGCUAGCGUUGUUCGGAAUUACUGGGCGUAAAGCGCGUGUAGGCGGGCCGUUAAGUCGGGGGUGAAAGCCCAGAGCUCAACUCUGGAAUUGCCUUCGAUACUGGCGGCCUGGAGCAUGAUAGAGGCAAGUGGAAUUGCGAGUGUAGAGGUGAAAUUCGCAGAUAUUCGCAGGAACACCGGUGGCGAAGGCGACUUGCUGGAUCAUUGCUGACGCUGAGACGCGAAAGCGUGGGGAGCAAAC